CUGUUCUCCCCACGGCAGCAGCAUGGAGCUCGAGCUCUUUUCCCCCAUGGUCGUGAGCUCUCCCCUCCAGCUGCUCGACGCCCGCUGCUCCUUCUCCCUCGCGCAGGGCAGCAGCUCGUCCACCUCUCUCUCCCAUGGCGUUUCCCCUGCGAGCAGCGUUUCUUCGUCGUCUUCAACCUCCAGCCGAGCGCCCUCCCUGUCCUCCUCCUAGCGCGAGCUCCCUGCUCAUUGCUCCACGGGCAGCAGAGGUCAGCGGCGCCCUUCUUCCCCAGCUCCACCUUUUCCCCGCGCCCUCUCUCCAUGGCCGAGCUCGCCCAGGCUUCCAUGGCCGUCGGCCCCUGCGAGCUCUGCUCCAUCCCUUCUCCCACUCGACUCCCUGGAAGGCAGCAGCACGCCAGCUCAGGGCUUUCCCCAUGGCGCCUCCCUUUGCCCACUCCCUCCCAGCGCCCUUCCUCCCCUUGGCCAGCAAUGGCACGGCGCCCCCCUGCUCCUACUCUCUCGCGCGGCAGCAACUCCCAUGGCGCCCAGAAAACUCCAGCUGGCUCCCCUCUUCCUCCUCCCCUAUUUCUUCCUCAAGCCAGCAAGCCAUUCCCUCUGCUGUCCAGAGCGCGGCGAGCUUCUCUCGCCCCUGCCAGCAGCACGCCAUGGCCGGAUCUGCCCCCUCCAUGGGCGUCCCUUGCUGUUCCCUGCGCCCAGCUCUCUCUAUCCAGCACGCCCCAUUUUCUUCCAUGGAAAAACCAGCAGCGAGCCCCCUCCUCGCUGUCCUCCGUGGUGCCCGCCGGCUGUUCGACAAAUUGUGCAGCAAGCCGCAUGCUGCCGGCUCGCUGUUUGGUGGAGCCAAUGGACAGCACGCCGUGAUGCCACCGAGUGUUCGCUGUUUUUGCGCAGCCCCGAACAUCGACGUCGUUCACCCCGGUGAGACCGCGACGCUCCUUGUUUGGUUCCGCAUCGACGUUAUUUUCAUACGAUUA
rnacentral:misc_RNA from 1 species